GUAGGUGGCAAGCGUUGUCCGGAAUUAUUGGGCGUAAAGCGCGCGCAGGUGGUUCUUUAAGUCUGAUGUGAAAGCCCCCGGCUCAACCGGGGAGGGUCAUUGGAAACUGGGGAACUUGAGUGCAGGAGAGGAAAGUGGAAUUCCACGUGUAGCGGUGAAAUGCGUAGAUAUGUGGAGGAACACCAGUGGCGAAGGCGACUUUCUGGCCUGUAACUGACACUGAGGCGCGAAAGCGUGGGGAGCAAACAGGGAUUAGAUACCCUGGUAGUCCACGCCGUAAACGAUGAGUGCUAAGUGUUGGGGGGGUUUCCCGCCCCUCAGUGCUGCAGCUAACGCAUUAAGCACUCCGCCGUGGGGAGUACCGGUCGCAAGACUG
rnacentral:rRNA from 1 species